GUGAGAAAUCACUGCUAAUACCGCAUAAGCUGUGAUGAGCACAUGCUCUAAAUAGAAAAGGAGCAAUCCGCUGAUAGAUGAGCUUGCGUCUGAUUAGUUAGUUGGUGAGGUAACGGCCCACCAAGACGAUGAUCAGUAGCCGGACUGAGAGGUUGAACGGCCACAUUGGGACUGAGAUACGGCCCAGACUCCUACGGGAGGCAGCAGUCGGGAAUAUUGCGCAAUGGAGGAAACUCUGACGCAGUGACGCCGCGUGCAGGAAGAAGGUUUUCGGAUUGUAAACUGCUUUAGACAGGGACGAAAUAAAUGACGGUACCUGUAGAAUAAGCUCCGGCUAACUACGUGCCAGCAGCCGCGAUAAUACGUAGGGAGCAAGCGUUAUCCGGAUUUAUUGGGUGUAAAGGGUGCGUAGACGGAAAGACAAGUUAGUUGUGAAAUACCUCGGCUUAACUGAGGAACUGCAACUAAAACUAUCUAUCUUGAGUACUGGAGGGGAAAGCGGAAUUCCUAGUGUAGCGGUGAAAUGCGUAGAUAUUAGGAAGAACACCGGUGGCGAAGGCGGCUUUCUGGACAGUAACUGACGUUGAGGCACGAAAGUGUG
rnacentral:rRNA from 1 species